AGGCGGCUGGGGCAGUUGUUCAGUGCGGGGGCUGACUGAGGAGGUUCGGUGUCUGAGGCCAGCUAGGCGACUCAGUGUUCCCCUUGUCGUUCCAGUUUUCAGGAAGAGCUAAAGAUGGCUGAAUUUGUAGAUGACCAGGAUACUCAACUGUGUGACAACUG